GUGGACAGAUGAGACCAAAAUGGAAUUAUUAUUUUUGGUUUAUAUGAGAAGUGUUCUGUUUGGAGUAAAGAACACACUUCAUUCCAGCAUAAGAACCUCAUCCCAUCUGUGAAACGUGGUGGUAGUAUCGUGGUUUGGGCCUGUUUUGCUGCAUCUGUGCCAGGACGACUAACCAUUGUUGAUGGAACAAUGAAUUCUGAAUUAUACCAGCAAAUUCUAAAGGAAAAUGUCAGGACAUCUGUCUCAAGCGAAACUGGGCCAUGAAGCAAGACAACAACCCCAAGCACACAAGUCAUUUAACCAAAGCAUGGUUAAAAAAGGACAACGUUACUGUUUUGGAAUGGCCGAGUCUAGAGCACCGCACAGAAAUGUGGCAGUUCAUGAGAUGGAGCAGGUACAGGUCUCCUCUGUCCCUCAUAAGUUUGUGUCUGGACUUUGACACCAAGUUCAAGGUGAGAUUUUAUGUCUAUUUCUCUGACUCAAUGAUUAGCAUUUUGUGGUUAAGCUGUGUCCCUCUUUUGAGAGCUAAAGCUGUUUAGCUGCUGACCAAACAAGAAUGGCUGAUAAUAGAAUGAAUAGUAUCAUUCACUUCAAUUGCUGAUUGCGCAGUUCAUAUCUUGAAUUUUGGAUGCGCUUUUAUUAAUUUUGCUGGUAUUUCUGACCUUGUUAUUCCAAUGCUAGCCUAGCCUGCUUGUUGUUAAGCAUGACUUAGGUCUGUUGCCUAAGUUAGGCUGGCUGUAUUGAGGUGUUUCAAUAGUGUUUUAAUUUAACCACAGUAACAAGCAGUGUCAAAGUUUAGGGCAAACAGUACCGUUACCUGGCUGUCACAGAAGACAGGUCGGGAAGAUGUAGAUGCAGCUCUACAGGGGGCGUAAUUUGUGUGUGUACAUUAUUUAUUUAUUUAUUUUUAACAUUUUCCAUGUCUGUUUUACUUCAGCACAUAAAUCCAGUGAAACUUGUAAUGUAAAUUUCAGUGGUCUCCAAAUUAAUUUUUGGAAAUGUACAGUGAUAUGUAUAUGCCCUUGAAUAUCUUGAAUAUUUCACACACAAAGUAUAUUGUCAUAUUUCAGGUUUACACAGAAAGUUCUUACACUAUCUUACAUUCAUUCUGCGCACUGUCAGAUUCAGUAUGUCAUAGUUAAGUGUUUUGUGUAGGGCAGAAGUCAAACUGUGAGCAUCAUAUGCGCAAGAAUGGAAAAAAAAACACCUUUAACCACACAUUAUUCACAAAGAUACACUCCUGACACCUCAGACACACUUUCACAAGAAACUUCAACAUCAAUAGAGCAAUUGCAGUAGACACAUCCUCAUGCACAAGCUGUUUGUCAGCCCAACAAAAUAAACAUGUCUAUACAGAAUGAAGCA
ensembl:lncRNA